UACGUAGGCAGCAAGCGUUGUUCGGAGUUACUGGGCGUAAAGGGUGUGUAGGCGGUUGGUUAAGUUUGGUGUGAAAUCUCCCGGCUCAACCGGGAGGGUGCGCCGAAUACUGAGUGACUAGAGUGCGGGAGAGGAAAGUGGAAUUCCUGGUGUAGCGGUGAAAUGCGUAGAUAUCAGGAGGAACACCGGUGGUGUAGACGGCUUUCUGGACCAUAACUGACGCUGAGGCACGAAAGCGUGGGUAGCAAACAGG
rnacentral:rRNA from 1 species